rnacentral:lncRNA from 1 species
GUGAGGGAAGGCAUUUGGGGAAAGAAAAUGCCCGAUAUUAUCCUUGAAACAUGGAUUAGAACUGAACAGGGAAUCUAGUCCUAGAAGUCCCAAGACAGAGACAACAGCAAAUACUAAGUGCAGAGAGGUACCAUGUGAAGGCCUGGGCAUAUAACAUGAAACAAGAAAGAUAAGGCCCGUGCUUACAUAGAACUUGGUGAAGAAUCUAGACCAUAACAAGCACACAGAGAAAACGUAUCACAAAUUGUGCUAAAGUUCUGUAAAGGGAUUAAGAUGAAGUGUCACAAGACUGAAUUAGACAGAGUGCCCUUGAAAGAGAAUACUGAGUAUGUUCCUGUGUCACCUUAUUUGCCAAUAGUGCCAAUUUUUAGAAUGGAGGGUGUAGAUCCAUCCUUUGCAACUGGUGAGGACCUCCUCAGUAAGGCACUGAGCCAGGAGUCUAUACAGCCAUGCCAGCAGGGAGCACUGUCUUUCAUUGUCUGAUGUUUAUUGCAAACCUGUUCUUUUCAGCUUUUUGUUGUUUCAGCCUAGUCCAAAGACGUUUACAUCCUGGAAGAGAACUUGCUGGCUUUUCACCUCAGCAUGUAUGGGCCAAACUAAUAUAACAAGAAGUCUUGAGAGGAGUCAGCGGCCAAGCUCCAUGUCUUGCAGCCAAACAAUGCUGUGGGAUGGAAGGUGGGAUGUCAUGUGUCUGGUUUACAGCACUCACGUAUCAGUUGGCAGUUAACGGAAGUGCUACUGAUUGGUGAUAUGCCUACUCCCCCUUCACCUUCGAUCAUGAUUGUAAACUUCGUGAGGACAUCACCAAAGGCUGACAUUGGCAACAUGCUUCCUGUACAAUCUGCAGAACAACGAUGGAACAAAAUAAACACCUUUUCUUUAUAAAUUACCCGGCUUCAUGUAUUCCUUCAUAACAAUGCAAAGCAGCCUAAUACAAAUUGUCAGUGAGUAGGCAGAUUUUCAGAAUGUAUGGCUAAUUGGAAUUUCCAUGGUCCUAUAUGAGAAGAGAUUUGAAGUAAUUCCAUAGAAUGUUAUGAGCGCCCUGGGAGAAGAAAAAGGGUGAUUUUUCAGAAGGAAAAGAGUGUAAGAAAAACAUGAAAUUCAAUUUUCCAAUGACAGUUCUG